AGGACGUUACUAACGACGAUAUGCUUUGGGGAGCUGUAAGUAAGCUUUGAUCCAGAGAUUUCCGAAUGGGGAAACCCAGCAUGAGUUAUGUCAUGUUAUCGAUAUGUGAAUACAUAGCAUAUCAGAAGGCACACCCGGAGAACUGAAACAUCUUAGUACCCGGAGGAAGAGAAAGAAAAUUCGAUUCCCUUAGUAGCGGCGAGCGAAACGGGAAGAGCCCAAACCAACAAGCUUGCUUGUUGGGGUUGUAGGACACUCUAUACGGAGUUACAAAGGACGACAUUAGACGAAUCAUCUGGAAAGAUGAAUCAAAGAAGGUAAUAAUCCUGUAGUCGAAAAUGUUGUCUCUCUUGAGUGGAUCCUGAGUACGACGGAGCACGUGAAAUUCCGUCGGAAUCUGGGAGGACCAUCUCCUAAGGCUAAAUACUCUCUAGUGACCGAUAGUGAACCAGUACCGUGAGGGAAAGGUGAAAAGCACCCCGGAAGGGGAGUGAAAUAGAACCUGAAACCGUGUGCUUACAAGUAGUCAGAGCCCGUUAAUGGGUGAUGGCGUGCCUUUUGUAGAAUGAACCGGCGAGUUACGAUUUGAUGCAAGGUUAAGCAGUAAAUGUGGAGCCGUAGCGAAAGCGAGUCUGAAUAGGGCGUUUAGUAUUUGGUCGUAGACCCGAAACCAGGUGAUCUACCCUUGGUCAGGUUGAAGUUCAGGUAACACUGAAUGGAGGACCGAACCGACUUACGUUGAAAAGUGAGCGGAUGAACUGAGGGUAGCGGAGAAAUUCCAAUCGAACCUGGAGAUAGCUGGUUCUCUCCGAAAUAGCUUUAGGGCUAGCCUCAAGUGAUGAUUAUUGGAGGUAGAGCACUGUUUGGACGAGGGGCCCCUCUCGGGUUACCGAAUUCAGACAAACUCCGAAUGCCAAUUAAUUUAACUUGGGAGUCAGAACAUGGGUGAUAAGGUCCGUGUUCGAAAGGGAAACAGCCCAGACCACCAGCUAAGGUCCCAAAAUAUAUGUUAAGUGGAAAAGGAUGUGGCGUUGCCCAGACAACUAGGAUGUUGGCUUAGAAGCAGCCAUCAUUUAAAGAGUGCGUAAUAGCUCACUAGUCGAGUGACACUGCGCCGAAAAUGUACCGGGGCUAAACAUAUUACCGAAGCUGUGGAUUGUCCUUUGGACAAUGGUAGGAGAGCGUUCUAAGGGCGUUGAAGCAUGAUCGUAAGGACAUGUGGAGCGCUUAGAAGUGAGAAUGCCGGUGUGAGUAGCGAAAGACGGGUGAGAAUCCCGUCCACCGAUUGACUAAGGUUUCCAGAGGAAGGCUCGUCCGCUCUGGGUUAGUCGGGUCCUAAGCUGAGGCCGACAGGCGUAGGCGAUGGAUAACAGGUUGAUAUUCCUGUACCACCUAUAAUCGUUUUAAUCGAUGGGGGGACGCAGUAGGAUAGGCGAAGCGUGCGAUUGGAUUGCACGUCUAAGCAGUAAGGCUGAGUAUUAGGCAAAUCCGGUACUCGUUAAGGCUGA
rnacentral:rRNA from 1 species